UGGGGAAUUUUGGACAAUGGGGGAAACCCUGAUCCAGCCAUCCCGCGUGUGCGAUGAAGGCCUUCGGGUUGUAAAGCACUUUUGGCAGGAAAGAAACGUCAUGGGUUAAUACCCCGUGAAACUGACGGUACCUGCAGAAUAAGCACCGGCUAACUACGUGCCAGCAGCCGCGGUAAUACGCAGGGUGCAAGCGUUAAUCGGAAUUACUGGGCGUAAAGCGUGCGCAGGCGGUUCGGAAAGAAAGAUGUGAAAUCCCAGAGCUCAACUUUGGAACUGCAUUAUUAACUACCGGGCUAGAGUGUGUCAGAGGGAGGUGGAAUUCCGCGUGUAGCAGUGAAAUGCGUAGAUAUGCGGAGGAACACCGAUGGCGAGGGCAGCCUCCUGGGAUAACACUGACGCUCAUGCACGAAAGCGUGGGGAGCAAACAGG
rnacentral:rRNA from 1 species